rnacentral:lncRNA from 1 species
CUUUGGAGCUUAAUUCUUUUUCUUGAUUUGCAAUCUUAUAGAAUACUUUCAAUUCAUCUUACACUUGUUUAGCAGAAAUAAAAGAAAAGAUAUAUUAAAUUUAUUUGUAUCUAAUGAACAAUAAAGCAUAUUCAUAGUCUUAGCAUUUAGCUAGGCCAUUUUUUUAUCACGCUCAUCCCAUAGCCUUUUGGGAUUAGGUGAAGCAAUACCAUUAAUCAAUGUAGUGGUUGUGUAUGG